UGCCCAUUGCCCUAAGAUGAGAAGUCUUACUUGGCAAUCUUCGAUGGAGAUUGACAAUGGCACCCUUCAUUUUUCACUUCACAGGUACAAUUUCCUAAACUUAGGUUGAUGGAUCUCUCCCACAUGGACAAUUUAAGCAAAAUAUGGACUGACGCUCCUCAAGAAACUCUGACUUUUGAUCGUUUAUGGAAAGUGGAGGUUCGGAAUUGUAAGGGACUUGAAAAUUUGUUUCCAUAUUGGGUGGCUACAAGUUUAACCGAACUUAGAAAACUUCAAGUGGAGUCUUGUGAGAUUGAGGAAAUAGUCGCUAGUGGGGAUGACACUCCACGCUCCAAUACUACUCAAGAUCUUUUCCCAAAACUAACCUCUCUGGUGUUACAUGACAUGCCACGACUCAAGAGCUUUUGUCCUAACUUGCCUUUGAAUUUGCCAUUAUUGGAGGAAUUACGAGUGACUCAUUGUGAAAAACUGAGCAUGUUAUCCUUUGUGGCAUCCAUAAACAGAUGGGCUCAAAGAGAUGAUCAACAAGACCUUUCAGAUCAAGAAGCACACUCUUCAUUUGAGAGGGACUUUCCCAACUUGGAGAGACUUUUAUUAGUCAAUAACAAUAUUCAGAUGAUACAAGAUGGAAAUUUUCGGAUGACAUGUUCAGUAAUCUAAAAGCACUAACACUAGCAUGCUUUCAUGAUAAAAAGGCUGCCUUUCCUUCCAUAUUCCUCCUAGAGAGAUUUCAGAAUUUACAAAGCCUUGAAGUCUUCUGUAGCUCCUUUGAAGAUUUAUUCCCGAACGAAGGGCUUGUUGAAGAAAGGAAACAUCCGGUGCUUGAAAAUUUAAGAGAACUUAAGUUGAACAAGCUACACAACUUAAAGUGUGUGGAGAGAAGACUCUUUAGUGUCGAAAAUUCUUCAGAGCAUCAAAACAUUUGAGGUUUGGGAUUGUCCCUGUUUGGCAACAAUAUUUCCAACCGAGACAUCCUUCCAGAAUCGACAAAUUUAGUGGUGAAGAAUUCCUCUGGAUUGGUACAUCUAGUAACGACUUCGGUAGUCACAAAUUUGGUACAUCUCACUCAUAUGACUAUAAUAGGAUGUGAAAGAAUGAAAGAAGUAGUGGCCAACAAUGGAAACAAAGAAAGAAAAGUGAUUUCUUUUGAAAAGCUAGAAUGGUUGACACUUGAACAUCUGCCAAACUUAGAAUGCUUCUCUUCCAUCUCAAGUUGCAUCUUUAGGUUUCCAUCCUUACAGGGUGUAUUAUAGUGGAAGAGUGUCCGAAAAUGAAGAACUUUUCUAAGGGUACAUUAAGCACACCAGAACUAUUUGAUGUGUCACUGUUCAGAUACAAGUGGGAAGGGAAUUGGGAGAAGGGUGAUGAUCUCAAUACAACCAUACAGAAGUUAGCAGCAUAAAUCAAUGCACAUAGAAUUGUAGGAAGCAAAGCGGGUCUCUCCUUCUCCUUCUCCUUCUUGACGCCAAAGGCUCUUUCUCCAUCUUUCUUCUUCUUCUUCUUCUUCCUCCGUGGAGCGAAAUUGGGGAAGCCUCUGCUGCCUUCACAAAGGACGGAGCAAAAAUGAAGCAUCAGGAAUUGCCAGGACUGCGAAGCGAAGCUGCAAUUAGCGGAGCGGAGCCAAGUAGAUUCAACCAGACACUGUCGUUGUCGCCGUCGUCACCGCCGGAGGUGGCACCACCGAGUCUGGACAGUUAGUCGUCCACUCACUUCAUCAAAGAAGAAGAAGAUCACACUCUCUCUCCGCAUCUGUAUCCGACAAAUCGCAGGUCCAAACAUUCGAGCAGAUUGAGGCAUCCUGAGCUGGUUUUUUUUUUAUGGUCCCAUGCGCCCAAGGCCUCUCACUGCUUUUGCAUCGGCCAACAAAUUUCAAAUGGAGCAUCCCUUUUCCAAAGGCAACAUAAUCUGGAAAAAAUGUAAAUUGCAACUCUCAGCUAUUCAGACAAGUCAUGAACGUUGAAACUCAGGAGCCAUGGACGUGGACACGGGGGCUUUUUUUUCUGCUGGUUGGCCCACAUUUGCUAGAGAAGCUCAUCUGCAUGUAGGAGAUGUUUGUAUUUUUGAGCUAAUUGAUAGUGAGGAUGUGUGUUCAGAGUCUACAUUUCCACUAGAGCUGGUCAGAACAGACAAGUCUGAAUGUCCAGUGAGCCCCUCCUAAGCAAUUUUUUCAUGAUUCCAAGUGUUCGAGGCCUCUCACUGCCCUUGAGAAAGCUAGAGAAUUCAAAUUGGAGUAUCCCUUUUCCAGACAGUGAUGUGGCCAUCUUUUCUUAAGAAAGAAGUGGUGGCUGCCUAGGCUUGGGAAGAAGAGGUGACACGAAAUGUCCAGCUUAAGCCAUAGCUACUGCAACAGGCCUAGGCUUGGCAUGACUGAGCUCACUGCAACAGCAUGGCAACACUAGUCAGAUAUUGCUCCCUGGCAACAAAUGGUUUACAAGAGCUACCAUUGCAAGCAGGUUCAAACUUGCAAUCGAAAAUGAAGGGAAGCCAAUGUGGCCUAGACCUCAAAAAUUAGUGCCACCAACUCGAUGGUAUGAAACGAAGAAAAGAAGCUCACUUCUUUUUGGUCAGGCAAAAGAAGAUCACUUACUUUCUGUGCAUGUGUGUCCAUUUAGGUCCCUAUGUGUAGCUUUUCAUGUUUAUUCGAUGCAUAUUGCAAUGUAAGAUUGGUGACUCAGAUAUUCACCAGAUUCAACUUGUCUCUAUAUUGAUUACACGUACUUAGUGUAGAAUCUAAGAGCACAGGAUUGUGAUAUUUUGAUUUCAGAUUGCAAGUUGUGAUUAAAGGCGAUCUCAUCAUGUCUUUUAGACUGCUAAUAUGGACUUUGGAAACUAACAACUACUAGCAUAAAUGUACGUUUUGUUUG